UUCCCACCAAAAUUUUGUUUUUGGGCGCCCAAGUCUAAUCUGAUUCUGAAAAAAAUGAAACCCUAAAGUCUCCAAGUCUAAGUCUGCUACUCUGCUUCUCGCUUCCUCCAUACUCCAGUCGAUUCCAACAAGCAAAUCCGACGAAGAGCGACGAACCUGCUGCCGACGAGGGCUCCGCCUCCCCUGUGAUAGUCGCCGAUGAGGGCUCUGUCUCCCCUACGAUAACCGCCCACUACCGCCGGUAAGUGUUUCUUAUUCUUAUUUUCUAUUUUUUUUAUUGUCUAUCUGCAGACGAAUCCGAUGGGGGAGAAUAAGCUGCCGCUGACGAAUCUGAUGGGAGAACAAGCAGCUGCCGACAAAUCUGCCUCCCCUGCGACGACGCCAGAGCCGCCACGCCACAGCUUCGUCGUUCGGAACAGCGCGUCGUCGAUCUCCACUGCCUACCCUUCCGAUCUGCUUCGUUGUUCCCUCCUCCGGCUCCCCUGCGACGCCACAACUACCAGCCACCGUCACCGCCUCCGCCCCCAGCCACUGCCGUCCGCGUACUGCAGUUGCAAGAAAUACUGAUGGCAUCACUGCAUUCCAUAUGGAUAUAAAGCAGGUCUUGAUAGGGAAGAUCAGUGUGAAAAGAACAAAGGCAUUUGUCAUUUUGAGGCUCAGACUAGUGAUCAGGAACUUCCCUUAAAAUGAAGAGAUGGAUUCUCCAUUAUUGAUUGUUGAACGGUUCUCCAUUAGGAAACAUGUUUAUUUGUAUAGUCUCAUCUUUCAAAAUAGCCAACAUGUUUAUUUGUAUAGUCUCAUCUUUCAAAAUAGCCAACAAAUACAUUACUAUGGCUAUUUGUUAUAAUCAGUUUUGUUGACUUUAGUCUUUACAAAUUUGUAUGAAACAUUUUAUUUUGGUAGUGAUGAUGAACUCUUUUAAUAUAUCGAUGAAGCUUACUUUGAUUGCAAAA